rnacentral:rRNA from 1 species
CCAAUAGCGUAUAUUAAAGUUGUUGCAGUUAAAAAGCUCGUAGUUGAAUUUCGGGAUCAAGGGAUUGGUCAUGCCUUGGUAUGUACUGGUCUUAUUGGUUCUCACCUUCUAAGGAACCAUGAUGUCAUUCAUUUGAUGUUGUGGGGAAUUAGGACUGUUACCUUGAAAAAAUUAGAGUGUUUAAAGCAAGCUUACGCUUGAAUACAUUAGCAUGGAAUAAUGAAAUAGGACAUCAGAUUCUAUUUUGUUGGUUUCUAGGAUCGAUGUAAUGAUUAAUAGUGAUAGUUGGGGGCAUUAGUAUUCAAUUGUCAGAGGUGAAAUUCUUGGAUUUAUUGAAGACUAACUACUGCGAAAGCAUUUGCCAAGGAUGUUUUCAUUAAUCAAGAACGAAAGUUAGGGGAUCGAAGACGAUCAGAUACCGUCGUAGUCUUAACCAUAAACUAUGCCGACUAGGGAUCGGAUGAUGUUAAUUUUUUAAUGACUCAUUCGGCACCUUACG